rnacentral:rRNA from 1 species
CCUACGGGAGGCAGCAGUGGGGGAUAUUGCACAAUGGGGGGAACCCUGAUGCAGCGACGCCGCGUGAGCGAUGGAGUACUUCGGUAUGUAAAGCUCUGUCAGCAGGGAAGAAAAGGACGGUACCUGACCAAGAAUCCCCGGAUAAAUACGUGCCAGCAGCCGCGGUAAUACGUAUGGGGCGAGCGUUAUCCGGAUUUACUGGGUGUAAAGGGAGCGUAGGCGGGAGGGCAAGCCAGUUGUGAAAGUCCGGGGCUCAACCCUGGGACUGCAUUGGGAACUGCCCGGCUGGAGUGCCGUAGGGGCAGGCGGAAUUCCUAGUGUAGCGGUGAAAUGCGUAGAUAUUAGGAGGAACACCAGUGGCGAAGGCGGCCUGCUGGACGGCCACUGACGUUGAGGCUCGAAAGCGUGGGGAGCAAACAGGAUUAGAUACCCGUGUAGUC